CAUUAGUAGGCCUCAGUAAAUGUUUAUUGGAUGAAUAAAUGAAUGACUCAUCAACAAACAUUUAUUGUGUGCCUGCUAAAGUG
rnacentral:pre_miRNA from 1 species